UGCAUCCAACGCGUUGGGAGCUCUCCCAUAUGGUCGACCUGCAGGCGGCCGCGAAUUCACUAGUGAUUCGUAUUACCGCGGCUGCUGGCACGUAGUUAGCCGGUGCUUAUUCCGCCGGUACCGUCAAAAACCGCCCCUGUUCAAGGCAGCCUUUUCUUCCCGGCUAAAAGCGGUUUACAACCCGAAGGCCUUCUUCCCGCACGCGGCAUGGCUGGAUCAGGGUUGCCCCCAUUGUCCAAAAUUCCCCACUGCUGCCUCCCGUAGGAGUCUGGGCCGUGUCUCAGUCCCAGUGUGGCUGAUCAUCCUCUCAGACCAGCUACCGAUCGUAGCCUUGGUAGGCCAUUACCCCACCAACAAGCUAAUCGGACAUCGGCCGCUCCCAUAGCGUGAGGCCCUUGCAGGUCCCCCACUUUCCUCCGUAGAGCAUAUGCGGUAUUAGCACGGCUUUCGCCGAGUUAUCCCCCUCUACGGGACACGUUCCGAUGCAUUACUCACCCGUUCGCCACUGAAUGGGAGUUGCCCCCCACCCCGUUCGACUUGCAUGUGUAAAGCAUGCCGCCAGCGUUCAAUCUGAGCCAUGAUCAAACUCUAAUCGAAUUCCCGCGGCCGCC
rnacentral:rRNA from 1 species